GGUUAAGCGACUAAGCGUACACGGUGGAUGCCUAGGCAGUCAGAGGCGAUGAAGGGCGUGCUAAUCUGCGAAAAGCGUCGGUAAGGUGAUAUGAACCGUUACACCCGACGAUACCCGAAUGGGGAAACCCAGUGUGUUUCGACACAUUAUCAUCACAUGAAUACAUAGUGUGAUGAGGCGAACCGGGGGAACUGAAACAUCUCAGUACCCCGAGGAAAAGAAAUCAACCGAGAUUCCCCCAGUAGCGGCGAGCGAACGGGGAGGAGCCCAGAGUCUGCAUCAGCUUGUGUGUCAGUGGAAGCGUCUGGAAAGUCGCACAACAAAGGGUGAGAGUCCCGUACACGAAGAUGCACAGGUUGUGAGCUCGAUGAGUAGGGCGGGACACGAGAUAUCCUGUCUGAAGAUGGGGGGACCAUCCUCCAAGGCUAAAUACUCCUGACUGACCGAUAGUGAACCAGUACCGUGAGGGAAAGGCGAAAAGAACCCCGGCGAGGGGAGUGAAAUAGAACCUGAAACCGUGUACGUACAAGCAGUGGGAGCCUUGAUUAAUCAGGGUGACUGCGUACCUUUUGUAUAAUGGGUCAGCGACUUAUAUUCUGUAGCAAGGUUAACCGAAUAGGGGAGCCGCAGGGAAACCGAGUCUUAACUGGGCGUUAAGUUGCAGGGUAUAGACCCGAAACCCGGUGAUCUAGCCAUGGGCAGGUUGAAGGUUGGGUAACACUAACUGGAGGACCGAACCGACUAAUGUUGAAAAAUUAGCGGAUGACUUGUGGCUGGGGGUGAAAGGCCAAUCAAACCGGGAGAUAGCUGGUUCUCCCCGAAAGCUAUUUAGGUAGCGCCUCGUGAAUUCAUCUUCGGGGGUAGAGCACUGUUUCGACUAGGGGGUCAUCCCGACUUACCAACUCGAUGCAAACUGCGAAUACCGAAGAAUGUUAUCACGGGAGACACACGGCGGGUGCUAACGUCCGUCGUGAAGAGGGAAACAACCCAGACCGCCAGCUAAGGUCCCAAAGUCAUGGUUAAGUGGGAAACGAUGUGGGAAGGCCCAGACAGCCAGGAUGUUGGCUUAGAAGCAGCCAUCAUUUAAAGAAAGCGUAAUAGCUCACUGGUCGAGUCGGCCUGCGCGGAAGAUGUAACGGGGCUAAACCAUGCACCGAAGCUGCGGCAGCGAACGUAUCACCCAAGACAAUUUGGCGAUGUGGAAUGACGAUUGAUGGCGCGAAGCGACAUCAAUGCGUUUUACAAAGUCGAGUUGGUUUAGGGAUACGUUCGUUGGGUAGGGGAGCGUUCUGUAAGCCGUUGAAGGUGGCCUGUGAGGGUUGCUGGAGGUAUCAGAAGUGCGAAUGCUGACAUAAGUAACGAUAAUGCGGGUGAAAAACCCGCACGCCGGAAGACCAAGGGUUCCUGUCCAACGUUAAUCGGGGCAGGGUGAGUCGACCCCUAAGGCGAGGCCGAAAGGCGUAGUCGAUGGGAAACGGGUUAAUAUUCCCGUACUGGUUGUUACUGCGAAGGGGGGACGGAGAAAGCUAGGUUGGCCGGGCGACGGUUGUCCCGGUUUAAGCGUGCAGGUGGGUGUUUUUGGUAAAUCCGGAACACCGUUAACACUGAGGCGUGAUGACGAGUCACUAUGGUGAUGAAGUAACCGAUGCUACGCUUCCAGGAAAAGCCUCUAAGCUCUAGGUAACAAUCAAUCGUACCCCAAACCGACACAGGUGGUCAGGUAGAGAAUACUCAGGCGCUUGAGAGAACUCGGGUGAAGGAACUAGGCAAAAUGGUGCCGUAACUUCGGGAGAAGGCACGCUGGAUUUGGUGAAGUCCCUUGCGGAUGGAGCUGAGACCAGUCGCAGAUACCAGCUGGCUGCAACUGUUUAAUAAAAACACAGCACUGUGCAAACACGAAAGUGGACGUAUACGGUGUGACGCCUGCCCGGUGCCGGAAGGUUAAUUGAUGGGGUAAGCUUUCGGGCGAAGCUCUUGAUCGAAGCCCCGGUAAACGGCGGCCGUAACUAUAACGGUCCUAAGGUAGCGAAAUUCCUUGUCGGGUAAGUUCCGACCUGCACGAAUGGCGUAAUGAUGGCCAGGCUGUCUCCACCCGAGACUCAGUGAAAUUGAACUCGCUGUGAAGAUGCAGUGUACCCGCGGCAAGACGGAAAGACCCCGUGAACCUUUACUAUAGCUUGACACUGAACCUUGAGCCUUGAUGUGUAGGAUAGGUGGGAGGCUUUGAAGCGUGGACGCCAGUCUGCGUGGAGCCAACCUUGAAAUACCACCCUUUAAUGUUUGAUGUUCUAACGUGGGCCCCUGAGCGGGGUUGCGGACAGUGUCUGGUGGGUAGUUUGACUGGGGCGGUCUCCUCCCAAAGAGUAACGGAGGAGCACGAAGGUUAGCUAAUCCUGGUCGGACAUCAGGAGGUUAGUGCAAAGGCAUAAGCUAGCUUGACUGCGAGAGUGACGGCUCGAGCAGGUGCGAAAGCAGGUCUUAGUGAUCCGGUGGUUCUGAAUGGAAGGGCCAUCGCUCAACGGAUAAAAGGUACUCCGGGGAUAACAGGCUGAUACCGCCCAAGAGUUCAUAUCGACGGCGGUGUUUGGCACCUCGAUGUCGGCUCAUCACAUCCUGGGGCUGAAGUAGGUCCCAAGGGUAUGGCUGUUCGCCAUUUAAAGUGGUACGCGAGCUGGGUUUAGAACGUCGUGAGACAGUUCGGUCCCUAUCUGCCGUGGGCGUUGGAAGAUUGAGAGGGGUUGCUCCUAGUACGAGAGGACCGGAGUGAACGCACCACUGGUGUACGGGUUGUGAUGCCAAUUGCAUUGCCCGGUAGCUAAGUGCGGAAGAGAUAACCGCUGAAAGCAUCUAAGCGGGAAACUUGCCUCGAGAUGAGUCUUCCCUGGGACUUUGAGUCCCCUAAAGGGCCGUUGAAGACGACGACGUAGAUAGGCCGGGUGUGUAAGCGCAGCGAUGCGUUGAGCUAACCGGUACUAAUGACCCGAGAGGCUUAACCUUACAACACCGAAGGUGUUUUG
rnacentral:rRNA from 1 species